rnacentral:rRNA from 1 species
GUGGGGAAUUUUGCGCAAUGGGCGAAAGCCUGACGCAGCAACGCCGCGUGAGUGAUGAAGGCCUUCGGGUCGUAAAGCUCUGUCAGAGGGGAAGAAACUCCUGAAGCUAACAUCUUCAGGCCUGACGGUACCCUCAAAGGAAGCACCGGCUAACUCCGUGCCAGCAGCCGCGGUAAUACGGAGGGUGCAAGCGUUGUUCGGAAUUAUUGGGCGUAAAGCGCGUGUAGGCGGCUACUCAAGUCCGAUGUGAAAGCCCGGGGCUCAACCCCGGAAGUGCAUUGGAAACUGGGUGGCUUGAGUACGGGAGAGGGAGGUGGAAUUCCGAGUGUAGGGGUGAAAUCCGUAGAUAUUCGGAGGAACACCGGUGGCGAAGGCGGCCUCCUGGACCGAUACUGACGCUGAGACGCGAAAGCGUGGGGAGCAAACAGGAUUAGAUACCCUAGUAGUCC